ensembl:lncRNA
UGACAACCAGUGCCCUAGUUUCUCUCAGUCUGAGUCUGGCGGUUACAAGCUAAGACAUGUUUUCCCGUCUUCGCAAGCGUUUUGGGAGGGGGAACGUCGAUUGUGGAGAGACUAGAGUGAAGGAGUCUGGCCUCUCGUCUCAAAGUAAUGAUGGACAAAGACAGCACUUUUGGGGAAUGUCGAGUAAGCUCUGAGCAGUAUAUAUUGAGCUUCCUGUCAGGGGGGCUGGAGGCUUACGCUGACCAUUCUAGCAAUGGGCCACAACAACUGGAGCAUCUGAAAAGGAAUUGAAUUUCCACGAAUAUCACAAUUCCUUAAAGUCAAGAUUUCAGAACAUUAGAUUCUCCAUCCCCACUGGGAGGAUAUGAGAUCAGCUCCUCGCCAUUCUGACAAGCAAACAAAAGGGAAGGCAAAGGACCUGAAGAAGAUGGAGGAGAAUAAUGAAAGCCUCCUUUAAAAGGUAAAAAUAAUUUUAGAAACUGAAUGUCUCGCUGACUGGUGGAAUCGUCACUACAAGCACAUUUUCGAG